CUAAACAUAAUCAUAGCUAUGAAUCAAUUUAAUAAUAAGCGCAGCUCAAUGUACAACGUUAAAGCAAGGUGGCUGCUGUCUCUCUCAUUUGGCUCAGAUUCAAGAAUGCUGAAGAUAAAGGUCUCACUUUUUGCCCACGAAGUGUUCCACGGCAAAGGAAGAAGAAGAAAAAGCUGCAGUUGCUUAGACUUCCAAGCAAAGCCCUUAUGGAUAUGCUUGCAAGACCUAAUGACGUCAGUGGCUGAACAGGAUUUCUAAUUGUUGGAAACGAGUCAAUCACCCGGCAGUUAACAGCAGCGGCACCAGACAGCCCCUUUCCACAGCUCCAUAUUCACUCCUGCCCUUUCAGAAUUCUCUUCCUGCCUUUCUUGUUUGGAACACAGGAUAACUUCAAGAACAAAGCAAAUACCGUCUGAAGCAGCCCAUCUCUCUGUUUUCCUGGUCUUGUCUUAUCCCAACUUCGUUUCUUGUUCAACAUAGCUGCCGCUUUCAAGUAAGCAAAGCUUGGCUCCUUCCUGGUUUCCAUAACCUUCCAGGGUAAUUUCUUUCAUAUGUUGGUGAAGCAUAUCCUUUCUGCUCUCAAACACAGAUCCUGCUACUUCAGCCAGGCUCAGCAGGUCACAUAUCUUACUUUUCCCACGCCACUCGUGCAGGACAAAACGUUAAAAAAAUUAUAUCCACUCUCAGGAGGCCUCUCCUACUCCCAAAAGCAAACGAGGGUCUAUUGCUGGCAUGGGGAACUUCAGGGUCAGGGGCCGGAUGUGGCCCUCCAAGCCUCUCUGUCUGGCCCUUGGCACUCUCUCCAGGCUACAUCCCCUCACCAGCCCUGCUUUGCAUCUUCCUCGAGUGCCUGGCUGGAAUGUGUCCUUGAACUCUUGCUUGCCUGGAGGAUAUCGAGGGGCGUUUGAAUGUGUGUAAAGCAGCAUCCUGGUCUGUAAUGCUCCAUCCCCUUUUGCCUUUGGCCCCACCCACCAAAGGCAUGUGGUCCAGAAGGGAAGGUGGCCCUCAAGCUGAUAAAGGUCUCUCACCCUUGCUCCAUUAACUAGAGAGGAAUAAAAUACUCUCCAAACUUCCUGAGCUCUACCAUCCAAGGUCCACGUGAUUUCAUGCAAGUCUCCACAAACCUUACCACUUCAUAGCAAAGUUAUUUAGGGGGAAGGGUCAGAGC